rnacentral:rRNA from 1 species
UGCGCAGGCGGUUUUGUAAGACAGAGGUGAAAUCCCCGGGCUCAACCUGGGAACUGCCUUUGUGACUGCAAGGCUAGAGUACGGCAGAGGGGGAGUGGAAUUCCGCGUGUAGCAGUGAAAUGCGUAGAUAUGCGGAGGAACACCGAUGGCGAAGGCAAUCCCCUGGGCCUGUACUGACGCUCAUGCACGAAAGCGUGGGAGCAAACA